rnacentral:lncRNA from 1 species
AAAUACUUUCAAACUUCCCAUCCUGUAAGGAAAACAAAUAAACAUGGGGUGAGCUAAAGCUCAGUGGUGCCCCAAAUCAUGCAGUCACGCAAAUCAGACAACGAGUAAUAACUUAAACAGAUUUAACAAAUAGGAAAGCGUUUAACAGCACAAGGUAGGAUACAGGGGCUCUCAGGAGCCAUUUUCCUCGCUUGAUCACCAUUUAUCGUAGUUGACCCUCCGUCAACUCUCACUACCUAAAUUCCAUGUAGACCACCUUAUUUUGAUACCUAUCCCGUCACCAAUCAUACCCCGAUCCCGGGCCCGCUCGCCGACUAAGGACGUAGUAUACUCGAGAUAUACUCGUCAUGGUAGUUGGUACAGGGGUCGUGGGAUUCACCCAACGACUCAACUACGUUUGGAUUUAUGGUAGUUAGAUACAUGCGUCGAGGGAUUCACCCAACGACGUAACUACUUUUAGAUUCAUGGUAGUUAGAUACAUGCGUCGAGGGAUUCACCCAACGACGUAACUACAUAUUGAAUCAAGGAUUCAGGAGGAAAUUGUUUUUGCACAAGUUACCACUCGAACGGCUAGUGUGGUAAAGUACACACAGCUCACUUCGAUGGAUCAAAAACUCAUUUUACAAUUUAUCACGUAUCAAGUCAAGAAAGCACUUAAUUCAAGUAGGAAAUGAACAGACAGGGACACUCACCAAGAGUGGAGUUCAGAUAUCGGGUUGGGAGUCGAAUUCCGUGUCCUCGAGAAAUCCUAGAAACCAAAUUUUGAAACUAUAAGUUUCUAUUUAGUUAUUAAACUUAUUCGUGCAAGAAUUUAUUUAAUUUAAUACUAGUUUACUUUCUCGAAAGAUUUCAAAAAUCUAAGUAGAUUGAGGCUUGACAAAAGUAGUAAAAGUAUUUCUUAUUAUUAUUUUUUUAUCCUUAGAGAAGGGUAUCUGGUAUUACUUACUAGAAUCAAGUCGACAAAUUUCUCAAAAUCAAAGUUAGAAGGUUACUUUGAAUAUUUCUCUAAAGUUACGGCUUUUUUCAAAAAAAUUACCCUUAAAACCAUUUUUCCUAGAAUAGGGUUUUCUUGCCGAGCAAGUCUCCCAAGCUUUUCACUAAAGUCGGUAAAACUCGUAUUUUAAAACUUUCUUAUAGUUGACUAUCCAAGUGCAAAGUUUAGGGAAAGAAAAGAAUUAAACUAAGACUUAGAGUUUCCGAAAGCUAUACAACUUAAUUACAAGAGCUGUCAAGGCUAGUUUGAGCGGAAGGAAGUUAUUGAAUUGGAAAGUUUUAGGCAAAACACUAGAUAUAGAGUUUUAUAAUAUAAUUCUAGCUGGAGAGUAUUUUUGGAUAAUCUUGAACGCAGCUACUCGAGUUCGUAGGGUCUAUACAAUUUUCCUUGCUCCGGUUCCGUUUCGAAAUCACAAUACAGAUCAAGGUAUGGCAAAAAUCACAUAGCAAACUUACUAAGGCUUCGUCAAUCAUUAGCCUUAGCUUUCAACAAUUGCAUUUCCGAAUAAUAUAAAAUAGUCAACCAAGGCUUCAUCAAUCAUUAGCACUUGGUUUCAGCAAACCCAACAUAAGCAAGUCAACUAAAAGUGAAGUCCCAUGACAUUCUAGCAAUUUAAUUUCCAUCAUCCAGUAAUACUUUAUAAAAUCAUUUCAAUGGCUAAGGGCUUCAUCAAUCAUUAGCCCCUAGCACCCAACCAGAAAUUUUCGUGACAACCAAGCUAACAUUCUCAAAUAUUUAAAUCUACUAACAGUUAUUUAAACCCAAAGAUCACAUUUGCAGCGGCCUCCGACUCAAGUCUUUGAUCCAAAGCCAAGAAUACCAUCCACAAUAUCACAUUGUCACCCCGAUAUUCAAAUGCAUGACUAUCUCAAGGUAUUAUAAAGCAAAUUCAAAAGUAGUACAAUUUUUCCACAGCUCCAAGAUAUAUAAAGUAAACCAUACGUAAUUCUUUAUCAAUCAUGACCAAGGCUGAAAAUUUCCAGCUUAUAUCCUAAACUGCCCUUUACUUAUUUCGAAAUCGAAUUCCCAAGAUAUCAAAUGGUUUAUUGCCAAACAGAUUCCACAGGCUACUUGUGCAUUUAAUCAUGCAUUUCGAGUUCCUAACAACUUAAGGAAAUAAAUUCUAAAGUCAAGCUGAAGACUCUGGUUCAUAAUCAAAUUCGAGCAAUAUAGUUAAACCUCCCAAAAUUUUCAAAAAUCUGUUUAGUAAACCACGGAUGAAUUAUGCAUGAAGGGAAUUUUCUGUUUUUACUUCAUUUACUCGGGUGAAGCAGGCCAUUAAACCCUCACUUCCUCAUGAAAUUUGCUUAGUUAAACAAUGCACAAUUUCCGUUCAGAAGUUGGAGUUAAACCACUGUUACAAUCUUCAAAGUUUCCAGGUUCAAGUUAACGGUAAUUCGCAAAGAAAUUCCAGAAAUAGAAAUGAUUCCAGAACAGAAUUUUUCUUUGGUUAAAACAGGAUUUUUGGUACUCUAUUAGCUCUUGAAAACAUGUAGCUAGCUAGUAAAGAUUUCCAAAGCAAAUCCAGGUUCAUACUACAACUGUACUCAUCUAACAUAAAUCCAGAAUUUAUAUCCACUAAGCUCGGAUGAUAGUUCAUGAAAUAAUUUUCUGUUUUCAUUUUUAUUUUCCUGGUUAGCCCAGUUACAAAACCUUAUGCAAACUUCGAUUAACAUGUUGUUAACUAGCUAAUCAUACACAUUAACUCGUACAAGCCCCAUAAUCUCAGAUUGAGGACUAAAAAUCCAAUUCCAGGUCUCGGAAAUUUCAGGUCAUACGAAUUCCCAAUUCACUUAAACCAGAAUUUUUUUCCAAGUUCCCCAAUUCAUUAUCCACUCGUGCAACUCAAUGUGCAGGCCCUUAGGCAUUUUAUCUUCCCUUAGUUAGUUAAGAUAAUAACCACAGCUCAUCAAAAUUAGGCUAAUUAAACAAAUCAGUCCUUAGUCAUGCUCGGCAGAAGAUGGACAUCAAACUAGAAUCUCUUAGGUUCUUUAAUUCAUCAAUUAACUUCAAAGAAUUGACAUGCAGGGUCUUAGCCAUCAUCAACAUUGAGAUUCACUCGGUUACUUACACUUGAGAGCUCAAGUAAUCACAAGCAAGCAGAAUUUCAGUUGCAAUUCCAUACCAUUCUUCUCGGCAGAUUCAUGCACAACCAAAACAGAAUUUUCUAAUCUCAUUAGUUCCUUAUCUGCCAAUAUCUUCAGUUGAGGCCUUUUAUUUUGCCCUUAAAUCACACAUGCACAAUUUCUGAAUUUAUUAGCUAACAAGUCAGUCCAGAAAAUUCAGCUCGGCAGCAUUAACACAUUCAUAAAUCCAGAAAUUGUGGGACUACACUCGGUGCUUGUAUGAAAAGGAUUUCUGUUUUCAUCUCUUAUUUUCCAGAUUAAUCCAGGCUAAUUAAUUUCAUGCAUGACACUAAUCGUAAUAAUCAUCCAAGGUUCGAUUAGUUAAUCACCUACACCUGCUCAAAUCAUUUCCAAAAGACGCACUGAGGCUGCAAUCCCAAAUCAGCCACUCGGCAGGGACAUCUAACCGAAACAGAAAAUUUUUCUAAUAUCUUAAGUUCAUCAUCCGAACACUUAGAUUGACAUGCAUGACCUUGAGCAUCAUGUUUAGUGUUAAGUAACCGUAUAUAUGAGCUCAGAUUACUUCAAUUAAGCAAUGAUCAAGUCUGCAUUUCUGAUUCAAGCUCACGGCAAAACCAAUUCUUCCCAAAACAGAUUUCUCAUUCAUUCAUUUUUUUUUUCGUCUGACUACAUAAACAACACAAGCAUGCUCUGAUAUAACUUCAUCUAUUGAUACUUGACUUAAAUUUAACCCAAAAAAAUUACCUCAGAAACCAGCUAAGCCCACACACAAGAAAUUUGAAAUUCCUAUCCUCCGCUCGGCUCACACGCACGGUUUUGGUUCUGGUUUUGGUAGCUGUAAAGUUGCGACUGGAGCUGCUGAGAUGCGGCUUGGUUGAAGUCGAAAAUGGUCACAGCUAGAAGAGGGAAGGGUGUAGGUCAAAUGUUCUCACGCGGUGGUCUCCUGGCUUCCUCCCUCAGCUUGCGGACAGAACAGGAAAUUUUCUGCUCAGGGAUUUCUUUUCUUCUUGCUCUCAGUUACAGCAGGUAACUCCCUCUCCUCUCGGUCGAUACUCACGAUGCAAUGUGG